GGGGGUGAACAGGGUUCGACGGGAGUGGCAGAGGUAAUGACAGCAGGCCGGAGUUGGUCGAUGGCUCCGCAAAAAUCGACCGAAAAAUAAACAAUAACGAAACUGUUAUUUCUAUGGACAAUGUUAAAAGUGCAAUAGUACCUAAUGUGGCGGUACCUAGCAUGGGAUUCGUUGUUCCGUCAAUAGCUGCUUAACGUAGCUUCGUUUUAUCUUAGACACCUGCUAUAGGAAUAAAACGACAAGAGCAGGUUAGUUUUAAGCGGUUUGUGCCGUCAGUUUAAAAUGAAAUAAAACGGCGCUGGUUUAUAACGUAGUACUGUCCGAUUACAGCGUUAUAAACGAGAUAAAUUUUCGGACUAAGCCUGUAGCGGUCUUACUAAAACAUUUUCGGACGCGGGUUCAAUUCCCGCCACCUCCACAA
rnacentral:tmRNA from 1 species